rnacentral:lncRNA from 1 species
AAAGUACUUAACUGAAAUUCUACAUUUCACAGUCUCCCUUGCAGAUACAGUGUGAUGGCUAGAACUACAGCGAAAAUGUGAUGGUUAUGGUCAUGUGAUGUUGAUGGAAGCCAGUGUUAAGUAUGGUGAAGCUGAGAGAUCGACCAACAAAUAAGCAAAAAUCCUUGGGUUUCUGAAAAUCAUUGCUUGAUGUACCCCUGGGUUUAUUUUACAUGACAGAAAAAUAAACCUGCAUCUUGUUUAAGCUAC